rnacentral:rRNA from 1 species
AACGUAGGAGACAAACGUUAUCCGGAGUUACUGGGCGUAAAGGGCGUGUAGGUGGUUUCGUAAGUCUGGCGUGAAAUUUCCCGGCUUAACCGGGAGUGGUCGUCGGAUACUGCGGGACUAGAGGACGGUAGAGGCGUGUGGAAUUCCGGGUGUAGUGGUGAAAUGCGUAGAUAUCUGGAGGAACACCGGUGGCGAAGGCGGCAUCCUGGACCGGUAUUGACGCUGAGGCGCGAAAGCCAGGGGAGCAAACGGG